rnacentral:lncRNA from 1 species
CUCAGCCCGCCUGCACCCAGGUGAUUAAAAGCUUUAUUGCUCACACAAAGCCUGUUUGGUGGUCUCUUCACAUGGACGCGCAUGAAAGAAAUUACUUUUUUUCAAGAACGAGUUCAUGUCCUUUGCAGGGACAUGGAUGAAGCUGGAAGGCACCAUUCUCAGCAAACUAACACAGGAACAAAAAACCAAACAUUGCAUGUUUUCACUCAUAAAUGUGCCCGCAUUUGGUACAAUGUUCGUCAAAGAGGAUGAGGUUACCGGGAUUGUCACUGUGUUUAAAUGACUGCGCCAGCCUCCAGACAAUAAGAUCUGUAUUCAUUGAUUCAUUUAACCAAUAUUCAGGUGACUACCACAUGCAAUACCACA